UACAGAGGUCUCAAGCGUUGUUCGGAUUCAUUGGGCGUAAAGGGUGCGUAGGCGGCGCGGUAAGUCGGGUGUGAAAUCUCGGAGCUUAACUCCGAAACUGCAUUCGAUACUGCCGUGCUUGAGGACUGGAGAGGAGACUGGAAUUUACGGUGUAGCGGUGAAAUGCGUAGAUAUCGUAAGGAAGACCAGUGGCGAAGGCGGGUCUCUGGACAGUUCCUGACGCUGAGGGACGAAAGCUAGGGGAGCGAAUGGG
rnacentral:rRNA from 1 species